UGUAGUUCCCGGAAACACACGGGCGGUAGCGGCAGCGGCCCACCCUUUGUGGGUUGGUGCUGGCGUUAAGUCAGUAGAAGUGAAAGGAGUGUGUACCCACACAAAGCUACGAGGCACCCCUUGAUCGUCGAUUCCUGCUAGAACCUGGUGAAGAGGAAACUUCCCUUGCCCUGUAUCAGAAGAGUGAGGCCCCUGGCCGGAUUGAACACCACUGCGGGUGUGAGAAGGAGAGGCCACUUCCUCUAAUCGGGGAUAUAAGAACAACAUUAACUGCAAGAUGGUAUCAUGAGAUAAAGAACCUGAAGUCGGCCAUUUCUCAAUCAAGCCCUGGGAAUAUUGUACCCAAUCCCGAUUACAGUACUUGAUCGUGACUUCCUUUUUCAUAUCCCCAUAGCUGAACUGUUUCCAGUUCUUUAAAAUACAACCCAGUGGUGAACGCUUGGGGAUCGACGGUGCGCCUUGCAUUCUCUAUACAACACGUACACAUAUGCAUCAUGUUUACACUCACUUAAAGCUUUUUUCGCACCAGUGCUACACAUACAUCCACACAGAGACCAGACUAGGACCUGAGGCAACGGAGAUAAUCUUGGCAGCCUCAACCUCCCAGCCAGCCAGCCAGGUGAUGGAGGUGAUCUUGGCUGCCUCAACCUCUCAGACAGCCCCAGCGCCACACACCUAUGGCACUACUGUAUCUCUGAUAUCUAGAUCAACUAACCCUCAGUAACGUUCUUUUUUUUCAUAGUUAAGUUAAUGGCCUGGUAGUAAGGGUCAUUUGUAACUGUCACCUGUUUUUGUAAUGGAAAGAGUGUGUUAAAGAUUUUUCUUGUAUACAACAAAUUAGAGGUUGUAGGAAAGGAGGGUGCUUUUUUUUUUUUUCUUUUGGAUGCUCUGACAGUGGACACUGUCCACCUCAUCUGGGUAGCUUUUUUUUUCCUACACUAGCUGCACUGGUCUCUUUUCAAAGGGGUGUGAAGGCUUCUCUGCUCCUGUGGCCUUGGUCUCCUUCCUUUUCUUUGUUUUCUUGGGGGAUGGCCUUCAGCCUGCAAGGUGGCAGCUAGGAAGGCUGCCUGGUGCUUUUAUUUAUUUAUUUUUAUUUUAUUUUAUUUUUUUAUUGCUGUAAUUAAAUGAAGUUUACAUUUCAAGUUAGUCUCCCAUACAAAAUUUUCAU